CAAUUUCUUUGUGCUUGUGUUGCUUCGUGUCUGUCAAGGUGUUAGCAAGGAUGGGAUCAAACAACAGCCAUGCUCAACAGAUACCAUCUCCACCACCCAUCUCGGUUGAGUUACCAGCUCCAACUGGGACUUAUUGUCAAGGAGAGAAUUGUGAGAGUGGCAGCUAUCUGGCUAGUAUGAAGGAUCGAUUUCACAAAUUUAUCCAUGCUUCCAAGGAUGAACACAAGGCUUGCUUCAAUAAGUACAUUGAGAAGAUAACUGGAAUGACAACAAUUCUCGGAUCAAAGACUCCUGACUCAAGUGCAGUUUGAAGUUCCUUCCAAUCCCCUUCAAGAAUCUGAGACGACAUGGACAUUUUGCAUUCACAUCUGGAUUACUAGUAUUUAAUUACAGACAAAUAAUCCUUUGUUUUUUUUUUGUCCUGAACCAGAUGUAAAUUUAGUUUUCAACUUAGCAUCUAGAGAGAUUAUGUUUUCGGCAUGAUUUUAGAAUAUAAGACUGGAAUGAGUUUACUAUUUGAUUAGUAGCAUGUGGGUGCAUUUGAUUUUUAAUACUAGGUGAGAAUGUUU